rnacentral:tRNA from 1 species
AAAUGUAAGGUUUUUUUUAAACUAUAUUAAUAGAAAUAUUAACAAUUAAUGCUAUGUUAGAAGUUAGAAGU